UCCUGGUUAGCUCAGAUGGUAGAGGGCUCCAUUCAAAAUGGAGAGGUCCCUUGUUCGAUACCAUCACCAGCCG
rnacentral:tRNA from 1 species